GCGGACGUGGUGGAACGGUAGACACGCUACUUUGAGGGGGUAGUGGGAGUAUUCCCGUGUGAGUUCAAAUCUCAUCGUCCGCA
rnacentral:tRNA from 1 species